rnacentral:rRNA from 1 species
UACGAGGGGGGCAAAUGUUGUUCGGAAUCACUGGGCGUAAAGGGAGCGUAGGCGGGUUCUUAAGUAAGGUGUUUAAUCCCGGGGCCCAACCCCGGACCGGCAUUUUAAACUGGGAAUCUUGAAUAGUGGAGAGGUCGGUGGAAUUGGGGGUGUAGCGGUGGAAUGCGUAGAGAUCCCCAAGAACACCAGUUGCGAAGGCGGCCGACUGGACACAUAUUGACGCUGAGGCUCGAAAGCAUGGGGAGCAAACAGG